CACUUCCGCCCUCACUGGUUGCCGUGGUAACAGGCCUCCGGUGGAGGGCGGGGACCCUCGGAAGCCAGCUGGGUGGCGAUCGCUUGUCUGCCUUGGCAGGCCCCUUGUGCAGUCUUUUCCCGGCGUGAGCGUGCAGGGAUUGAAAAGGAAUGCUUUAUGGUUCAGCAGAGAGCCACCACGCAGGAUGCACUGGGACCUGAGAACCGUCGGGCAGUCCCACGAGCUCUUUCAUGACCAGCUCCAACCGACAAGUACACGCCCCUUCGCACUCCACUAGCUAGUAAGCUGAGCUACAAGGUGUGCCAGGCACCCAGGACGCCGAUUCACCGCUUCAGUGAAGGCCCAGCUCAAAUGCCACCUCUUCCAUGAAGACUUCCGUGAUCCACAAUGAUAGCAUCUCCAGCAAUUGCUUCUAUAAUGAAUAGCAUGAGUCAUUCUGCAGGAUGUUGAUCUUCCUUUUUUUACUCCUAGACUGAAUUUUUCCACCACCUGGAUGAACAUAGCAGAAAGAACAUAGUGUUUUAGAGUCAGACACAAUAGGAAUCAGGCACUUUGGAAUCUUGGCUCUACCACCUUUGAGCUAUGUAUCCCAAGAGCCCUCUUUCUUCCAUUCACUUACCUGUCUAGUCAAACACCCAUCAGACCUUUGCCAGGUGUCCAGCCUGGGCACUACGUUUCAGAAAAUGAUGCACAUAGAAUCCCUAACUGAAAGGAGAUCGCAGCUCAUUUGGUACAAAGUGGUAACGGCAGAGUCCCAAAACACAUGAAGCAAGAACUGACAGAACUGGAGGGAGACAUCAAUCAAUAACAACAGUUGGAGAAUUCAAUACCCUGCUCUGAAUAAUGGAUAGAACAAUUAGGCAGAAGACCAACAAAGAAAGAGGAUAUUUGAACAACGUGAUAAGCCAAUUUGACCUAAUAAAUAUCUUUAUCUGUGAAACACCCUAGCUUUUAGCCUGGGUAAGGAGCUGGAGAGAUGUGAAAAUGUGGAAAGCAAGCCUAAGUCGCAGUGUGGCCUAUGCCUGAGAGCCAUCUUCAGUGCCCCCUUGUGGCUGUAUCUGGGAACCACAGACAGAAUCAUGGAACUGACCAUCUUCAGUCUCAAAGUGCUGCCCUCACCACUACACCCAGGGGCAGGUGGUCUUCGGGGGAAAGGCGGUUCCAGUUCCUUCUCCCAAGCCAGUGAGGAAGUCAAUCCUGCGAACAACUGCAGGAACGGCCUUGGGAGUGGAUCCUUCCUCAGCCCGGCUCCAAGACAACUGCAGCCCUGUGAGAAACCCUGAGUGGAGGACCAAGCCAAGCCUCAAAUCGUGACUUGGAACUGGGAGACAACAGAUGCUGUUGGAAGCCACUGAGCUCUGAAGUAGUUUGUUACACAGUGACAGGUAACUUACACACCAUGGCAGGGUCAUGUGGGCCAAAGGUGCAAGGGGCUAGAGGGCUCAGAGGGCAGCCAGCUGGGGACCCAGUCUUCCCCAGGUGUCAGCAGCAGAUGCAGAUGCAGCCCCAGCAAUAACUCAUAGAGGAUUCUCACUUUCAUUUAUUUUCAAGGCAUAUACAAAAGUCUGACAUGGUGCAAUGAUCUCAUCAAGAGAUAACAGAACACACAGGAGAGGGUUGGGUUUCCUCCCCGGCCCAACCCCCUCAGGAAGGCACAGAAAAGUGAGGCUUGGGUUCGGGGGCCACCUGCUUUGGAACUAAUCUGCUGCUCAGAAGGCCAGGCCCCUUCUGAAGAGGGAUCUCUUCCUCACAUCCAGAAUCUAGGAUCUGGGGAAGGUAAACUGAGGCCACCAGUAAGCAUGUGCUCCAGGCCAAGGCUGAGUCUGUGCUGCAUCCAUGUCAUCAGCCACCCAAGAAAAACCAGUUACUCCACCUAGCUCAUGGUGGCGGCAUCCUCCCUGCAAUGGUGCAUGGGGGGCAGUCCUUUCCCCUGCAGGGUGUCAUUGCCACCCCCAUCCUCAUCCUGGAGGCCAGUCCAGGCUCCGAUAUGAGUGACUAGGGGUGAGGUAGGGGUGGCAGAAGGGAGAUCAAACUGGAGCAUUCCAGAUGCCUACUACUGCCCUCACACAACGGGGCAACUGUGCUCUCCAACUCCUCCCCUUGGCAGAGAAACUGGUCCUGCAGUUUCAGGACUAGACGAGCGUGGGGUAGUGGCAAUAAAGGGGCUUGUAUGAGAAGUGGCUUUCGCCUCUCAUCCCUAGGGGCAAAAAGUGAAUCAUCUAACUGGUCCAAGUCACUAAUGGCAAUCCUUCUUCCCCAAGAAGACUGAGUUUCCUUUGUCACUUCAGGAAGGGAAGAA
rnacentral:lncRNA from 1 species